rnacentral:rRNA from 1 species
UCAUAUCAAUAAGCGGAGGAAAAGAAACCAACAGGGAUUGCCUUAGUAACGGCGAGUGAAGCGGCAAAAGCUCAAUUUGAAAUCGCUUCGGCGAGUUGUAAGUAAAGUGGUUAGACGCUUUUUAAUAAGUCCCUUGGAACAGGGCGCCAUAGAGGGUGAUAGCCCCGUAUUAAAUUGUCUAGUGUGCUACUUUAGAGCGAGUCGAGUUGUUUGGGAAUGCAGCUCAAAUAGGUGGUAAACUCCAUCUAAANCUAAAUAUUGCUGGGAGACCGAUAGCGAACAAGUACAGUGAUGGAAAGAUGAAAAGCACUUUGAAAAGAGAGUGAAAUAGCGUGUGAAAUUGUUGGAGGGGAAGGCGA